CCUACGGGAGGCUGCAGUGGGGAAUAUUGCACAAUGGGGGAAACCCUGAUGCAGCGACGCCGCGUGAGUGAAGAAGUACUUCGGUAUGUAAAGCUCUAUCAGCAGGGAAGAAAAUGACGGUAUCUGAUUAAGAAGCCCUGGCCAACUUCGUGCCAGCAGCCGCGGCAAUACGGAGGGGGCAAGCGUUAUCCGGAUUUACUGGGGGUAAAGGGAGCGUAGACGGCAGCACAAGUCUGGAGUGAAAUGCCGGGGCUUAACCCCGGAACUGCAUUGGAAACUGUGCAGCUGGAGUGCAGGAGAGGUAAGUGGAAUUCCUGGUGUAGCGGUGAAAUGCGUAGAUAUUAGGAGGAACACCAGUGGCGAAGGCGGCUUACUGGACUGUAACUGACGUUGAGGCUCGAAAGCGUGGGGAGCAAACAGGAUUAGAUACCCUUGUAGUC
rnacentral:rRNA from 1 species